GGUAGCACAGAGGAGCUUGCUCCUUGGGUGACGAGUGGCGGACGGGUGAGUAAUGUCUGGGAAACUGCCCGAUGGAGGGGGAUAACUACUGGAAACGGUAGCUAAUACCGCAUAACGUCGCAAGACCAAAGAGGGGGACCUUCGGGCCUCUUGCCAUCGGAUGUGCCCAGAUGGGAUUAGCUAGUAGGUGGGGUAACGGCUCACCUAGGCGACGAUCCCUAGCUGGUCUGAGAGGAUGACCAGCCACACUGGAACUGAGACACGGUCCAGACUCCUACGGGAGGCAGCAGUGGGGAAUAUUGCACAAUGGGCGCAAGCCUGAUGCAGCCAUGCCGCGUGUAUGAAGAAGGCCUUCGGGUUGUAAAGUACUUUCAGCGAGGAGGAAGGCGUUGUGGUUAAUAACCGCAACGAUUGACGUUACUCGCAGAAGAAGCACCGGCUAACUCCGUGCCAGCAGCCGCGGUAAUACGGAGGGUGCAAGCGUUAAUCGGAAUUACUGGGCGUAAAGCGCACGCAGGCGGUCUGUCAAGUCGGAUGU
rnacentral:rRNA from 1 species